CGGGGUGUAGCUCAGCCUGGUAGAGUGCGAGCUUUGGGAGCUCGAUGUCGCAGGUUCGAAUCCUGUCGCCCCGACCA
rnacentral:tRNA from 1 species